rnacentral:lncRNA from 1 species
CUGCAGCGCUGGGUCCCACCGGGCCCCGCACUCUCGCUCCCCCGGCGUGCGCAGCGCUUGCAGGUGGCUUAGGGCGACGGAGGCGGGAGGGGGGUGGCCGAGUCGCAGCGCCGUGCGCGGGUGUCAUUGCGGGGAGCGCGCACAACGGGUAUGCAAGGACCUCCUCGGAGCUGGGCUCCGUGUCCCCACGAAAGAGUUUCCCCAUUGGAGUGUCCGAGCUGCGGUACAGACUGGCCCUUCAAAUUGGCACAAGCUGUAUCCCAUCGCCCAGGGAGACCGCCAGUCACCCAUCAAUAUCAUAUCCAGCCAGGCAGUGUACUCACCCAGCCUACAGCCACUGGAGCUUUUCUAUGAAGCCUGCAUGUCCCUCAGCAUCACCAACAAUGGCCACUCUGUUCAGGUGGACUUCAAUGACAGUGAU